rnacentral:rRNA from 1 species
GUGCCAGCCGCCGCGGUAAUACGGAGGGUGCAAGCGUUAUCCGGAUUUAUUGGGUUUAAAGGGUCCGUAGGCUGAUUUGUAAGUCAGUGGUGAAAUCUCACAGCUUAACUGUGAAACUGCCAUUGAUACUGCAAGUCUUGAGUGUUGUUGAAGUAGCUGGAAUAAGUAGUGUAGCGGUGAAAUGCAUAGAUAUUACUUAGAACACCAAUUGCGAAGGCAGGUUACUAAGCAACAACUGACGCUGAUGGACGAAAGCGUGGGGAGCGAACAGGAUUAGAUACCCUGGUAGUCCACGCCGUAAACGAUGCUAACUCGUUUUUGGGCUUUUGGUUCAGAGACUAAGCGAAAGUGAUAAGUUAGCCACCUGGGGAGUACGAACGCAAGUUUGAAACUCAAAGGAAUUGACGGGGCCCGCACAAGCGGUGGAUUAUGUGGUUUAAUUCGAUGAUACGCGAGGAACCUUACCAAGGCUUAAAUGGGAAAUGACAGGCUUAGAAAUAGGCUUUUCUCGGACUAUUUUUCAAGGUGCUGCA